CUGCUCAAUCAGGAUGUAAUUUUGAAUCCUUUCUUUCUCCAGAACACUCAAAAUGGCAGUUGUAACUAAACCUACAAGCAUACAGACCUCACAGUCAGAAGAGCAAUAACUCAUUAUGGAAUAAUGUCACAGAGCAUCUUGCAGCAAUUUUGUCACCAACAACUUUGUUACUUGAAACUAUGAGACAGACUGCUCUGAGCUGGAAAUAUCAAUAACAGGAAUUGCUGGAACAACAUAUGCCUGCUAUGUAUGCACAGUUUGUGCUGCUGGGGAGCCAUUCCUACCUCACAAGUACUCUUGCUAGGAAUACACAUCCAGCUGUUAAGUGAAGACUGGAAAUACUGACCAACCACGAAAUGCUUCUGUGUCAACAGCAAUAUGAAUUCAUGAGGACCUCCAGAAAAAUCACAGCAGAAAAAGGGAAAACUCCAGAGGGAAAUUCCAAGAACUACAAGGUUACUGUACACUUCUUAUCCAUGCAUGACUUGUGAAGCCUGAACCAGCAGGAAAGGUAACUGUAUUUCUACUACUUACCAAAUGA
rnacentral:lncRNA from 1 species